CCUACGGGAGGCAGCAGUAGGGAAUCUUCCACAAUGGGCGAAAGCCUGAUGGAGCAACGCCGCGUGGGUGAAGAAGGUCUUCGGAUCGUAAAACCCUGUUGUUAGAGAAGAAAGUGCGUGAGAGUAACUGUUCACGUUUCGACGGUAUCUAACCAGAAAGCCACGGCUAACUACGUGCCAGCAGCCGCGGUAAUACGUAGGUGGCAAGCGUUAUCCGGAUUUAUUGGGCGUAAAGGGAACGCAGGCGGUCUUUUAAGUCUGAUGUGAAAGCCUUCGGCUUAACCGGAGUAGUGCAUUGGAAACUGGGAGACUUGAGUGCAGAAGAGGAGAGUGGAACUCCAUGUGUAGCGGUGAAAUGCGUCGAUAUAUGGAAGAACACCAGUGGCGAAAGCGGCUCUCUGGGCUGUAACUGACGCUGAGGUUCGAAAGCGUGGGUAGCAAACAGGAUUAGAUACCCCAGUAGUC
rnacentral:rRNA from 1 species